rfam:Trichobilharzia regenti genome assembly, scaffold: TRE_scaffold0029969
GUACUGCUGAAGAAUCCCAAAGUAGGACGAAACAGCUGUCCAGUAC